UACGUAGGGUGCGAGCGUUGUCCGGAAUUACUGGGCGUAAAGAGCUCGUAGGUGGUUUGUCGCGUUGUUCGUGAAAUUCCCUGGCUUAACUGGGGGCGUGCGGGCGAUACGGGCAGACUGGAGUACUGCAGGGGAGACUGGAAUUCCCGGUGUAGCGGUGGAAUGCGCAGAUAUCAGGAGGAACACCGGGGGCGAAGGCGGGUCUCUGGGCAGUAACUGACGCUGAGGAGCGAAAGCGUGGGGAGCGAACAGG
rnacentral:rRNA from 1 species